rnacentral:lncRNA from 1 species
AAAGAAUAGGACAUAGUGUCUGCCUUUGAUCAGUUACAUAAACAAAUGAUAUGGGUUCCUGUAGAAGAUGUACUAAAGUAGUGGGGUUUCUCAUAUGGUUUUUUGCCAUCCUAUAUUUUCUUUGGUGAAGUGUUUGAAUUUUUUUGGCUUUAGUUAUUCAUUUUAUUUUUAUUAUUAUAAAGUUCCUUAUAUAUUCUGAAUACAAAUUCUUCAUCAGACAUGUAUUUUGCACACAUUUACUUCUAGUCUCUGGCUCAUCU